rnacentral:lncRNA from 1 species
GGGCUCCAGUGGAGGUGGCUAUGCUCACCCCAUCUCCCUUGAGAGGCACAGAAGGUUAGAGAUGUGUGCGAGGAACGGCCAGGUCCAGCGUCUCCUCGUUGCUGCCCCUUGAGCCCGGGACCGGCGCCAAUGCGCGCCCGGGUUCUUGGGUUCUUUCGUCCCGCAGACCUGCCUUGGUGUGGCGUCCCUGGGCCGUAGCUUCCGAAGGCUGCAGCCGACCUGGUCGGGGUCCUCUAGCCCGCCUUCCCCUUCCCCCAUUGACAGAUGGAGAAACUGAGGCCCAGGCCAAAAAAUAUCUCACUAGAGGGCUCACCGCCAUUUCCUGGAAAAAUUGGGGCUGGGACUCAACGGACGCUCGUCCAGCAGCAGCGCGGAGCUCCGAAGUAAAGGCGCCCGUGACCGAGUGCUUUGUCCUUACAAGCGUGGUGUUCUUGAAUGCUUCCAGGCGCCUUAUGAGGCCCCCGAUGUACAAUCUGUGCUUAACUAAACCCCACUGUCUUCCAGGGUCAGGUUGGCCAUCCGCAGGCGUAGUUGCUAGGAAGGUUUGACAGAUGUCCGCCUGUUGAUUCAGACGUUCCCAGGAUUUGGAGCAAGAAGAGCAAGGAAGGCCAGGCGCGGUGGCUCACGUUUGUAAUCCCAGCACUUUGGGAGGCCGAGGCGGGCGGAUCACGAGGUCAGGAGUUCGAGACCAGCCUGGCCAGCAUGGUGAAACCCCGUCUCUACUAAAAAUACAAAAGAAAAUUAGCCGGGUGUGGUGGCACAUGCCUGUAGUCCCACCUACUUGGGAGGCUGAGGCAGGAGAAUUGUUUGACCUGGCAGGCGGAGGUUGCAGUGAGCCGAGAUUGCGCCACUGCACUCCAGUCUGGGCGACAGAGCGAGACUCUGUCUCAGAAAAAAAAAAGAGCAAGGAGGUGUUGAAAAUGGGUUUCCUGGCUGGGCGUGGUGGCUCACGCUUGUAAUCCCAGCACUUUGGGAAGCUGAGGUGGGCGGAUCACUUGAGGUCAGGAGUUUGAGACCAGCCUGGCCAACAUGGUGAAACACCGUCUCCACUAAAAAUAGAAAAAUUAACUGGGUGUGGUGGAGGGCGCCUGUAAUCCCAGCUAAUCAGGAAGCUGAGACAGGAGGAUCGCUUGAACCCAGGAGGCGGAGGUUGCAGUGAGCCGAGAUUGCUCCAUUGCACUCCAGCCUGGGCGAUAGAGUGAGACUCAGCCUCAAAAAAAAAAAAAAAAAAAAAUUCGCCAGGUGUGGUGGUGUGCGCCUAUAAUCCCAGCUACUCAGGAGGCAGAGGCACAAGAAUGGCUUGAAUCACUUGAACCUGGGAGGCAGAGGUUACAAUGAGCCGAGAUGGCACCACUGCACUCCAGCCUGGGCGACAGAGCGAGACUCCGACUUCCCAUCUUAAAAAAAAAAAAAAAAAAAAAAAAGAAGUGUAAAGAUGUGAUUAUGUGGCAGGGGGUAAGGGUUAAAAAGAAAACAAGAACAAGUUUUCCUCUGCUUAGCCAGCUUACUUCAAGGACAGUUAUAACACUGAAAAGUCGAGGCCAAAGGAAUGGGCUCCAGACAGCCUCCUCCGGAGCAAAGUUGAAAAGAAAAAUUCCUUUACUGUCUCUCCUUUUCUGAACCAUUAAAUAUGACUGUUUGCCAAUGGUUGUAUUUAGUAAGAUUUGUAGACUCUGUUUUUCUUUUGACACAGCUGCAAGGCCAACAGCUGUGCAAAGCCACAAGUUAUGCUAAGUCAGCAGUUAUGCUAUAGAUUACAUGACCUGUGACUGUAUCAUUAACUGCUUUUGUUUUGCUUCUGUAAGUUUGCCUAUAAAAACCACACUCAGUCUUUGUUCAAUGGUCAGCUUUUCAGAUACAAAUCCACUGAGCCGGUGUACAUCUAAAUAAAUCCUCCUGUUUCCCGUGU